AACGCGUGAGCAACCUGCCCAUAUCAGGGGGAUAGCCCGGAGAAAUCCGGAUUAACACCGCAUGACACUGCUUUCCGGCAUCGGGAGGUAGUCAAAUAUUCAUAGGAUAUGGAUGGGCUCGCGUGACAUUAGCUAGUUGGUGGGGUAACGGCCCACCAAGGCGACGAUGUCUAGGGGCUCUGAGAGGAGAAUCCCCCACACUGGUACUGAGACACGGACCAGACUCCUACGGGAGGCAGCAGUGAGGAAUAUUGGACAAUGGGUGAGAGCCUGAUCCAGCCAUCCCGCGUGAAGGACGACUGCCCUAUGGGUUGUAAGCUUCUUUUAUACUGGGAUAAACCUACCCUCGUGAGGGUAGCUGAAGGUACAGUAUGAAUAAGCACCGGCUAACUCCGUGCCAGCAGCCGCGGUAAUACGGAGGGUGCAAGCGUUAUCCGGAUUUAUUGGGUUUAAAGGGUCCGUAGGCGGACUCGUAAGUCAGUGGUGAAAUCUCAUAGCUUAACUAUGAAACUGCCAUUGAUACUGCGGGUCUUGAGUAAAGUAGAAGUGGCUGGAAUAAGUAGUGUAGCGGUGAAAUGCAUAGAUAUUACUUAG
rnacentral:rRNA from 1 species